rnacentral:lncRNA from 1 species
UAACAACCAAACUCACGUGCUUUCGGCACAAACUGAUGCAAAAACAGCAAUCUGGGUCCACCGUCAACCUCAACGGCACCCGACAGUCCGGAACAGCCUAAACUCUGCUGUAAAAAUAAGUUCGGCAUCUCAGCGCGAGCGUAAAUACAUUCUACACUAUCCUAGGUAUCCAUCGCCCAUAACUGCGGUGAUACAAACAAACUACGGCUCCUAGAGCUAAAUCUGAUAAUUUUAACAUAUGACAGGGUAGAAUCGCUAGUUUUCUCCUAAGUCAAAUUCCAAUCCAACAUGUAUAAUUCAAUAAAUAGUAUAAGCUCCAAUUCAGAUUUAGAACCUCCGUAAAUCAGCGAAUCAAGCAAUUAAACAUGCUGUACAAAAAUAGCGAAUACAUGUCGACAAAUACUAAACU